rnacentral:rRNA from 1 species
UACGUAGGGUGCAAGCGUUUGUCCGGAUUUAUUGGGCGUAAAGAGCUCGUAGGCGGUUUUGAAAGUCGGGUGUGAAAUCUCCACGCUCAACGUGGAGGGGCCACUCGAUAACUGCCAUGACUCGAGUCCGGUAGAGGAGUGUGGAAUUCCCGGUGUAGCGGUGAAAUGCGCAGAUAUCGGGAGGAACACCAAUGGCGAAGGCAGCUCGCUGGGACGGUACUGACGCUGAGGCGCGAAAGCGUGGGGAGCAAACGGG